UCCUAUCAGUUCGCAGUAAACGCAGCUGAAGGAAGCAGGUUGAUGCUAAAAAGGCCACAGAUUGUCUUUUGAUUUUGUUUUUAUUUUUAUUAUCUCAGAAUAAAAACAAGUGGUCUGAGGGA